rnacentral:lncRNA from 1 species
UCCCUUUCACCGUCAUCCAUGAGAAGACACAGUGUUCCAUCCAGAGGAUGUAGCAUCAAGGCGUCAUCUUAAAAGCAGAGAAAAGACUCUUACUUGACACCAGAUGCCAGUGCAUUGAUCUUGGACUUCCCAGCCUCUAGAACUGUAAACAGCCCUGGGACAAAGAACAGACUACGGGUAUUGCCUUCUUAAUCAACAAUAAAGUAUUAGUUGGCUUCCAGGCAGACACCACUGACUUUCAAGAGAAAGGCACGGGAGUAAGGAAGUAAAGAAUUCAGAAUUCACUAUGGAGCUCAUACAACUACCACCUUCAGCUAUUAAUCAAGGAGUCAUUCAACUGAGAAAGGGGAGAUUGAGAUGUUGAAUCAUUUCUCAUUCUGUGAAGUCUACCAGAAUAACCCAUAAAGCAAAUAUCAACCUAUUUCAAUUAGAAAAAUGAAAAAUACUGAUACAGCAGACGAAUUCUGGAACUAACACUUCCACAAAUCAUUGAUAAUCCAUUUUCCAACUUCUUCAAAUUCCAGACCAUCAACAAGCUAUUCAAAACAAUAAAUGUUAAUAGUUUUGGUGGAGUUAAGCAGCAGAAGUUAAAAGCAUUGUGGAAGACAGUAUGGUGAUUCCUCAAGGAUCUAGAAGCGGAAAUACCAUUUGACCCAGCAAUCCCAU